CCUUGUGAUGCUCUAAUGCUCAGUGAAGGAGUCAGAGCACAGCUGCCUGUAUUCCUAGCCUGUGCUCUGACUUCCUCAGUGCCGCACCAUAAGCAGGUGGUCUGCACUCCACCACCGGACCACCAGGAAUUCUUUAGUAAGGCUACUGGACCACCAAGGAUUUAUCAUUAAUGGAACACUACAAACACCAUAACCACUACAGCUUUAUUUAGGUCCACUGGGCACCACUCAACUUCCAUGUCCUCAGAGCUGGAAGUUCCUCAGGAACUUCCGUUAACUCUCCUGUACUAAGUCCUAUAAUGCUCUACAAGGCACAUUUGCUGAUAGCAGUCAGCUGGGGGAUGUCAAGGCUCUCCUGGCAAUGCAUCAUCAUGAUCACUCCAUCGGAAAUCAUUGUAGUGGAGAGCUGGUCUCCCACAGCCUAUUUCUGCUGGUAUUCUAGAAUGGCUCAGGAACAAGUAGUAAAUCCAAUAGAGUAGCAGGCACAAUCAGCAAUAUAUUCCAAGAAUAUCCCAUCACCUUUCCCAAUAACUGGAUGACACACAGUAUCAGGAGCAGAACUUAACUAACUUUUAAUCACGCAACCCCUGCUUUUUUGCAAUGCUCCCGUGCAAGGGAGCCACCCACAAUAAUUAGUACAUUAACCAAUAAAGUACAAGGUACAACCCACACAUCUCCUCCCAUCAGCUUAUCUGUUAACAGAAUUAAAAUGUACAUAUUUUUCCCCAAGUUCUAGAUGUACCCCAAAUACAUAGGAUACACCCCUGAUAGCCCUGAUUUGGGUGAAUAACAUAUUCAAAAAUCACCCAGAUCGGACCAGGGGUUCGGGAGUUAUGGGCAAAUAAAGUUUUGAC